rnacentral:hammerhead_ribozyme from 1 species
AUCCAGUUGACGAGUCCGAAAUAGGAUGAAACACGUGUCCUGGAU